CUCGCAAAUCCUGCACCUCUCCUCCACUCUCCCUCAUUUGCAGGUUGGUUCCUUGAGAAACCCCCAAAUCUCCAUUUCUUUUUCCAACAAGUCUUGCAUCGAACAUGAAUCACAUCUAAAACCAGCAGCAAAACACAAAGAUUCAGAGGGGAAAGGGGAGGCGAACAGCAGCGAUGAACGUGGCGGCGCGUGAGAGGAAAAGCAGUGGUGGAUCGGAACCUCGCGAGGGAGAACGGUGGGUCGUGGCGGCGCGAGAGGAGCAGCGAGAGGACGCGGCGCAACAGAUCCAACGACGUGUGUGGCGGUGGCUAGCAGAGGAGCGUGGUGGAGGCGAUUUAGAAGGAAGGAAGGAGGAAGGGAGGUGGUGAUGGUGGUGCAGCCAUGGGAGAGAAAGGGAGUGGCCACUGGUUCGUCCUCCUCCAACGGCCCCAACCCUAACGCAGCAGCAGAGGAGUUAAGACCAGCUUGCUGGAAAAGGAACCGGUUGAUUUUUGGCCUCUUAUUCUUGAUUUCCCUCAUAUUUGUUACCUCUGAUUCACAACUUCUCUCUCGCAGGAAGCUCCUCACCGAAGCCACAAUGUCUACUACCUCACGCAGGCUUCUCCCAAUCCAAUUCUACUACCUAUUUGCACUGCAAUAUAUCCCCCCCUGAGAAAGACACUUUCCAGUUCUGCAGCAAGCAAAGAAACAAUCAUGGCAGCUCCAACAGAUUUUUUGGAUCCAAGACAGCGCCCCCAAUAAUAAAGAUCCCAUGAUCAGCAAUCUAAUGUGGAUGCCCUUUCGAGUUAGCAACAAGCAACUUUGGGCGAAAUGUAGACAGAAUGGAGUAUAAUGAUAUAGAAGUUUCAUUUUCUUCCUCAGCACCUUAUGCUUCAGAGUCAAAUUCUGGAUUGAGAUUUUAGUUGCAUAAAGGUUAGAAAAAUUUGUAGAGCCCUUUUUUUCCCUUCCUUUUUCAAUGCUUAAUGUUAUCUUGAAUUCUAUCUUGCAAUUAUUGUAUUUUAUUUUAGACUUUAUCCCAAGGCUAAGGCAACAAUUCAGAGUUGGUGUUUUGAGAAACGAAAAUUUCAUAGUGGAAUAUAUAGUAUGUAGGUUUUAGCAAGCACAUAAAAUCUAAGAUUGUGUCAACUUUGAGCAAUUACUUAUGUUCUUUUUCAAUAGAUAAUUCCUAUGUUAGCUAGAAUGUUGCAAUUUUCAUUGCUUUAUUUUAAUGGUAACAGGGGGGCACAUUGGGAAGUCUUGUUGGGGUGUUUUUCUUUGUAUUGUAUUGGUGAAGCAAGUAAAUUUGUGGUGGUAGUGAUUCUAGUUGAAGGAAAUAGAACUUCCUGGGCUCUUGAGUCCCAAGAAUAUGUCUUCAGAC